GGGAGUAAUGUAUGGGGAUCUGCCUGAUGGCGGGGGAUAACUACUGGAAACGGUAGCUAAUACCGCAUAAUGUCUACGGACCAAAGCGGGGGACCGUUCGGGCCUCGCGCCAUCAGAUGAACCCAUAUGGGAUUAGCUUGUAGGUGAGGUAACGGCUCACCUAGGCGACGAUCCCUAGCUGGUCUGAGAGGAUGAUCAGCCACACUGGGACUGAGACACGGCCCAG
rnacentral:rRNA from 1 species